rnacentral:rRNA from 1 species
GAUGAACGCUGGCGGCGUGCCUAAUACAUGCAAGUCGAGCGAACAGACGAGGAGCUUGCUCCUCUGACGUUAGCGGCGGACGGGUGAGUAACACGUGGAUAACCUACCUAUAAGACUGGGAUAACUUCGGGAAACCGGAGCUAAUACCGGAUAAUAUAUUGAACCGCAUGAUUCAAUAGUGAAAGACGGUUUUGCUGUCACUUAUAGAUGGAUCCGCGCCGCAUUAGCUAGUUGGUAAGGUAACGGCUUACCAAGGCAACGAUGCGUAGCCGACCUGAGAGGGUGAUCGGCCACACUGGAACUGAGACACGGUCCAGACUCCUACGGGAGGCAGCAGUAGGGAAUCUUCCGCAAUGGGCGAAAGCCUGACGGAGCAACGCCGCGUGAGUGAUGAAGGUCUUCGGAUCGUAAAACUCUGUUAUUAGGGAAGAACAAAUGUGUAAUUAACUAUGCACGUCUUGACGGUACCUAAUCAGAAAGCCACGGCUAACUACGUG